UACGAAGGGGGCUAGCGUUGCUCGGAAUUACCGGGCGUAAAGCGCACGUAGGCGGCUUGUUAAGUCGGGGGUGAAAUCCUGGAGCUCAACUCCAGAACUGCCUUCGAUACUGGCGAGCUCGAGUUCGGGAGAGGUGAGUGGAACUGCGAGUGUAGAGGUGAAAUUCGUAGAUAUUCGCAAGAACACCAGUGGCGAAGGCGGCUCACUGGCCCGAUACUGACGCUGAGGUGCGAAAGCGUGGGGAGCAAACAGG
rnacentral:rRNA from 1 species